rnacentral:tRNA from 1 species
UUUAGCUCAGUUGGUAGAGCAUCUGACUCUUAAUCAGGGGGGCAUGGGUUCAAAUCCCAUAAG